GCCAGCAUAGCUCCUCAGAGGUUAUAGCAUCGCAUUUGUAAUGUGACGGUCAUUGGUUCAAUUCUAAUAGCCGGCU